rnacentral:rRNA from 1 species
ACUGGUAUGAAAAAGUUUAUCAAGGACAAAGUGCAGUCCUGUCUAGUUUGUCAACAAGCUAAACCUGAGAGAGUAGAGUAUCCAGGGCUGUUAUCUCCCUUGCCGGUUCCAAACAAAGCAUGGGAGACUGUCACUAUGGAUUUCAUUACUGGGCUACCGCAUUCACAUCAGUUUGAUUGCAUUUUGGUGGUCAUAGAUAAGUUUACCAAAUAUGGUCAUUUCAUGCCUCUAAAACAUCCUUUCUCUGCACAGAAAGUGGCUGAAAUAUUCCUUGACAAUGUUUAUAAACUGCAUGGAAUGCUAGAGUACAUUGUCUCAGACAGAGAUCCUGUUUUUACAAGUAAUUUUGGGCAAACCCUGACUCACAGGACUGGCACACAACUGAAUAUGAGUUCUGCCUACCAUCCUGCUACUGAUGGGCAAACCGAGCGAGUCAACCAACAAGUGGAAUGCUACCUGAGAAGUUUCAUCAUUUCUCAUCCAUCCAAGUGGAGCAAAUGGUUAUCGAUGUGUGAAUUCUGGUAUAACACUAAUUGGCAUUCUGCUGUGGGCAAAACACCUUUUGAAGUGUUGUAUGGCCAUUCUCCAAGGUACUUUGGCAACUCUGUUAGUGAUACAGUAGCUCCAAUGGACAUACAACAGUGGCUGCAGGACAGAGAAGUAGUGGUGGCUUCUGUCAAACAACAUUUGUUUCGAGCCCAGCAACGGAUGAAGCACAUGGCAGACAAAAAAAGAACUGAUAGAAGUUUUGAGGUUGGCGAACAAGUGUUCCUCAAACUAAAGCCUUAUGUGCAGUCGUCGGUUGUGCAUAGAGCUAACCACAAGCUGGCCUACAAGUACUACGGCCCAUACAGUAUUCUGGAAAAAAAUGGUGAAGUAGCCUACAAACUGCAAUUACCUCCUGACAGCCGAGUCCACCCCGUUUUUCAUAUCUCUCAACUGAAAAAGGAGCGCGUGCGUCGACAAGGCAAGCGUACAAUUGCUCAGGGUUUG